CGAACGGGUGAGUAAUACAUCGGAACGUGCCCAGACGUGGGGGAUAACGAGGCGAAAGCUUUGCUAAUACCGCAUACGAUCUAAGGAUGAAAGCAGGGGGCCGCAAGGCCUUGCGCGUUUGGAGCGGCCGAUGGCAGAUUAGGUAGUUGGUGGGAUAAAAGCUUACCAAGCCGACGAUCUGUAGCUGGUCUGAGAGGACGACCAGCCACACUGGAACUGAGACACGGCCCAGACUCCUACGGGAGGCAGCAGUGGGGAAUUUUGGACAAUGGGCGAAAGCCUGAUCCAGCAAUGCCGCGUGCAGGAUGAAGGCCUUCGGGUUGUAAACUGCUUUUGUACGGAACGAAAAGGCUCUGGCUAAUACCUGGAGCACAUGACGGUACCGUAAGAAUAAGCACCGGCUAACUACGUGCCAGCAGCCGCGGUAAUACGUAGGGUGCGAGCGUUAAUCGGAAUUACUGGGCGUAAAGCGUGCGCAGGCGGUUUUGUAAGACAGAGGUGAAAUCCCCGGGCUCAACCUGGGAACUGCCUUUGUGACUGCAAAGCUGGAGUGCGGCAGA
rnacentral:rRNA from 1 species